ACUCCUACGGGAGGCAGCAGUGGGGAAUUUUCCGCAAUGGGCGCAAGCCUGACGGAGCAAGACCGCGUGAGGGAGGAAGGCUCUUGGGUUGUAAACCUCUUUUAUCAGGGAAGAAGAUCUGACGGUACCUGAUGAAUCAGCAUCGGCUAACUCCGUGCCAGCAGCCGCGGUAAUACGGAGGAUGCAAGCGUUAUCCGGAUUUAUUGGGCGUAAAGCGUCCGCAGGUGGUUUUUCAAGUCUGCUGUUAAAGCGCAGAGCUUAACUCUGUAACGGCGGUGGAAACUGAGAGACUAGAGUAUGGUAGGGGUUGCGGGAAUUCCCAGUGUAGCGGUGAAAUGCGUAGAUAUUGGGAAGAACACCAGCGGCGAAAGCGCGCAACUGGGCCAUUACUGACACUCAUGGACGAAAGCUAGGGGAGCGAAAGGGAUUAGAUACCCCUGUAGUCCUAGCUGUAAACGAUGGGUACUAGGUGUUGACCGUAUCGACCCGGUCAGUGCCGUAGCUAACGCGUUAAGUACCCCGCCUGGGGAGUAUGCACGCAAGUGUGAAACUCAAAGGAAUUGACGGGGGCCC
rnacentral:rRNA from 1 species